GGUCACUCAGGGGUCAUUGGGGUCACUCAGGGGUCACUCAGGGUCACUCAGGGGUCACUCAAGGUCACUCAGGGGUCAUUGGGGUCACUCAGGGUCACUCAGGGGUCACUCAGGGGUCACUCAGGGCUCACUCAGGGGUCACUCAGGGGUCACUCAGGGGUCACUCAGGGUCACUCAGGGGUCACUCAGGGGUCACUCAGGGUCACUCAGGGGUCACCCAGGGGGUCACUCAGGGUCACUCAGGGGUCACUCAGGGGUCAUUGGGGUCACUCAGGGGUCACUCAGGGGUCACUCAGGGGUCAGGGGGGUCACUCAGGGGUCACUCAGGG